AUUGAACGCUGGCGGCAUGCCUUACACAUGCAAGUCGAACGGCAGCGGACCUUCGGGUGCCGGCGAGUGGCGAACGGGUGAGUAAUAUAUCGGAACGCACCUUUCAGUGGGGGAUAACGUAGCGAAAGUUACGCUAAUACCGCAUAUUCUGUGAGCAGGAAAGCAGGGGAUCGCAAGACCUUGCGCUGAUUGAGCGGCCGAUAUCAGAUUAGCUAGUUGGUGAGGUAAAGGCUCACCAAGGCGACGAUCUGUAGCGGGUCUGAGAGGAUGAUCCGCACACUGGAACUGAGACACGGUCCAGACUCCUACGGGAGGCAGCAGUGGGGAAUUUUGGACAAUGGGCGCAAGCCUGAUCCAGCCAUGCCGCGUGAGUGAAGAAGGCCU
rnacentral:rRNA from 1 species